rnacentral:lncRNA from 1 species
CUUGUCAUGAUUUUUUUUUCUUACAAAUACUAAUUGUUAGAAAUUUUUGAAUGAAAUUAAAUCCUUUUUUUUUUCUGGCUAAAAUACUAAAUUCAAAAUGUUUUAAGACCACAUAAUUUUUGGCUACACCAGGAAUUCUCAGCCUGUUUUAGAAAUAUGCCAGAGUUUAAGAAUUCAUGGAUUCCUGGCUAACUCCUGAGUAACUCACCUGCACUGCUAGGACAAGGGAGGACUCUUUACUUCCUGGGUGAGUGACCUUGGGAAUAAACAGGCAGAGGGAAGGGCAAUAAAAUUGGCAUUUUUGGCAAACACCUGAGACUGGGCAGCAGGCUCCUUUGUCCCCCAGCUUCUCUUGGGGACCUGCUGACACCAGCACAGGGAAGCAACAAGUAGGGGUGCUUUUCUGCUUGUGACGGGUGCAGCGUGGAAGGGCCUGGCCAAGUUGUCCGAAAUGCUUGCAUUAGUAGUUUCCAGGUGGUUGUGCCCCCUGCCAUUCCCUCAGAAUGUAAGCAUAGGCCAUGAUUAUACAAAUGAACUGGGAAAGUAGAAAUUUAUCCAUAACAGUGAGCCAGCAAUGGAUGGUUUUUAAAAGGCUCAUCACUUAUCAAAGGUUGAGAAUCCCUGGUUGAGAUUGAUUAAAUAGAGACUUAAAAAUCUUACGUAAUUCUAAACCCUUUCAUACCUAGGAAGAAAAUGCUGUUCUUGAGAUAGAUAGAUCUUCAGAGGAUCCAGUUUAAAUACAGGUAUGUAAAAAAAAAAAAAAGUUUUCAAGGUCUACUGGUUAUAAGCCAGUUACUGAAAAACAAUUCUUACCAACUAUAGAAUUUGUAUUUUCGCUACUAUUCCCCAUAGACAAGAAGCAUCUAGAAUGAUUGCUAGGAAUUAACCAUGGUCAUCUACAUGGUCAAAGCGUUUCUGUGCAAGGAGUGGCAAGCCAGAGCCCGGCUACACCUUCCUCAGUGUCUGAAGCUCAGGGCUGUGGGCAGGUCGCUUCACAGGCACUUUCUGGAAUUUGGGCUGAAACCCUUUUUGAGUGGGGCCUCAGUGGCUAUAGAAUGAACAGUGUCC